AACACAUGCAAGUCGAACGAUGAUCUCCAGCUUGCUGGGGGGAUUAGUGGCGAACGGGUGAGUAACACGUGAGUAACCUGCCCUUGACUCUGGGAUAAGCCUGGGAAACUGGGUCUAAUACCGGAUAUGACCAUUCCACGCAUGUGGUGGUGGUGGAAAGCUUUUGCGGUUUUGGAUGGACUCGCGGCCUAUCAGCUUGUUGGUGGGGUAAUGGCCUACCAAGGCGACGACGGGUAGCCGGCCUGAGAGGGUGACCGGCCACACUGGGACUGAGACACGGCCCAGACUCCUACGGGAGGCAGCAGUGGGGAAUAUUGCACAAUGGGCGGAAGCCUGAUGCAGCGACGCCGCGUGAGGGAUGACGGCCUUCGGGUUGUAAACCUCUUUCANUAGGGAAGAAGCGUAAGUGACGGUACCUGCAGAAGAAGCGCCGGCUAACUACGUGCCAGCAGCCGCGGUAAUACGUAGGGCGCAAGCGUUAUCCGGAAUUAUUGGGCGUAAA
rnacentral:rRNA from 1 species